rnacentral:rRNA from 1 species
UUUAUGGAGAGUUUGAUCCUGGCUCAGGAUGAACGCUGGCGGCGUGCCUAAUACAUGCAAGUCGAGCGAACUGACGAGGAGCUUGCUCCUUUGACGUUAGCGGCGGACGGGUGAGUAACACGUGGGUAACCUACCUAUAAGACUGGAAUAACUCCGGGAAACCGGGGCUAAUGCCGGAUAACAUGUUGAACCGCAUGGUUCAACAGUGAAAGACGGUCUUGCUGUCACUUAUAGAUGGACCCGCGCCGUAUUAGCUAGUUGGUAAGGUAACGGCUUACCAAGGCGACGAUACGUAGCCGACCUGAGAGGGKGAUCGGCCACACUGGA